GACAGAGGGUGCAAACGUGUUCGGAUUUACUGGGCGUAAAGCGCGUGUAGGCGGCUUGGCAAGUCGGAUGUGAAAGCCCACGGCUCAACCGUGGAAGCGCAUCGAAAACUGCUUGCCGCUCGAGUCUCGGAGAGGAAGGUGGAAUGCUUGGUGUAGAGGUGAAAUCGUAGAUAUCAAGCAGACACCUGCGGCGAAGGCGGCCUCUGGGACGAUGACUGACGCUGAGACGCGAAGCGUGGGGAGCAAACAGG
rnacentral:rRNA from 1 species